UGCUGCAAUACAAAGUUAAGUAUUUG
rnacentral:piRNA from 1 species